ACAUUUCAGACACGACCCCCAAAAUUUGGCCAAUGCUGUGUGAAUGGCACCACUAGAGGAUUUUGAAAGAUCAGAGGUCCUGAAGACCCUCAAUUAAAUUCUCCUUUCAACUAAAUUUUGUACUUUUAGUAGAGACGGCAUUUCACCAUGUUGGGCAGGCUGGUCUCAAACUCCUGACCUCAAGUGAUCCGCCCACCUCGGCCUCCCAAAGUGCUGGGAUUGCAGGCGUGAGCCACUGUGCCCGGCCAUUUUGGCCAUUUGCACAGUUUUGAAUAUGUACUCUGCUUGCACAUACUUUUUUUUUAACUUCCUUAUUUAUUGACUUGAUCAGUUGUGAUUUCUGUGAUGGUGACUGUGUUUACUUGGGGAAAAAACCCAAACAGAAGUCCUGUUUAUUGUUUUUCUCAAAA
rnacentral:lncRNA from 1 species